rnacentral:ncRNA from 2 species
ACCUAGGGUAGAGGUGCUGAAAUUAUGAGUAUUUAUUCGUAGCUGGUAAGUUAAGAUGAAUAAAAAAAGGAAUUUCAGCCGAAGGAAACAAGCUGACGAGUUUGGAUUCUGGCUUUACAUAGAAUAUAUGUAAAGCUGUCACUAAUAAAAGUGGAGAGCUACAAGGUAC